GCGGCGGUAGCGUAGUGGUUACGCACCACCUUGCCAAGGUGGGUCACGCGGGUCCGAUUCCCGUCCGCCGCU
rnacentral:tRNA from 1 species